rnacentral:rRNA from 2 species
GCAGUCGAACGCCCUCUUUUAGAGGGAGUGGCGCACGGGUGCGUAACGCGUGGGAACCUGCCCUUAGGUUCGGAAUAACUCAGAGAAAUUUGAGCUAAUACCGGAUAAUGUCUUCGGACCAAAGAUUUAUCGCCUUUGGAUGGGCCCGCGUAGGAUUAGAUAGUUGGUGGGGUAAUGGCCUACCAAGUCGACGAUCCUUAGCUGGUCUGAGAGGAUGAUCAGCCACACUGGGACUGAGACACGGCCCAGACUCCUACGGGAGGCAGCAGUGGGGAAUAUUGGACAAUGGGCGAAAGCCUGAUCCAGCAAUGCCGCGUGAGUGAUGAAGGCCUUAGGGUUGUAAAGCUCUUUUACCAGGGAUGAUAAUGACAGUACCUGGAGAAUAAGCUCCGGCUAACUCCGUGCCAGCAGCCGCGGUAAUACGGAGGGAGCUAGCGUUGUUCGGAAUUACUGGGCGUAAAGCGCACGUAGGCGGCUUUUCAAGUCAGGGGUGAAAUCCCGGGGCUCAACCCCGGAACUGCCCUUGAAACUCGAUGGCUAGAAUACUGGAGAGGUGAGUGGAAUCCCUAGUGUAGAUGUC